GAAAUUUUUUAAAUUUUAGUUUUUAUCGACUUUUGGUGGAGUGGGUGUGGCUGGUCUAUCUGCUUCGCUACUGACAUCUGUAUUACCAACAACACUGGAACAUCUUCUUGCUCUUGCCAUUUGUUCUGCUGGCGGCUAUUAUGAUUUUCUAAUUUUUACUUAUAAUUUGGCUUCCUUUCUUGUUGCUCAAGAUUAUAUUUCAAAAUCUUAAAUCUUUAAAGAAACAUAUUGCACUUUUACGGAAAGAGUUGUUAUCAUGUAACCUAAAGAAUACGCCCCUUUAGAUUCAUAUUUUAUAAAUAAAUGUAGAUUGGUAUGUUGCUAUAUCAAAUUUCCCAAGGCGCAGACAGAGUGUGAUAGAUAAAGUGAAAGCAACAGCAGAGAAGUUGUCAUCUGAGCUUGAAGAGGCCAUGAAGAAAGAUUUCGAUGAAGCCAUGGAAAAUUUGAACAAUUAUGUGAAAAUCCUUGGUAAGCCUUACCAAGAUCAAGCACAGAAUAGACUUAACAUGCUUCUAGAGAUUCAAGAGGAACUAUCCAAUGUUGAAAAAAAACUUAGAACAUUGCAAGUUGAAAUUCAAAAUCUUCAUGUCUCGUGACUUUGAAUUUGCCGCUUUGCAACCAUCUUCAUUUUUGCUGAUGUUGAUGAUGCUUAGGAAUUCUCCACUAUAUUUUGGCAUAAUAUUAUUUUUCGA